UCCCAAAAAAAAUUUAUGGUGUUUACAGAAAUUUUUAUUGUGUAGCCUUAGAACAUAGAAUACCAGGAAGCAACAUAAGGCAAAUAUUUAUUUCUUCUUAUGUGGAAGAUAAGAAUUUUGUAUGACAUUAAUGUUGAGAUAUUGUAAUAAUCCCUGUACUUUUUUAAUAAUUGACGAAUUUAGUUGAGAGUUCAGGUCUCCAAAAGAUGAAAGGAGGUGAGCGUCAUGGAUUCAUUUUUUAAAUGAGCUUGAAUUUGUUCCAAAAACUCAAAUUUAUUUAUGCUCUCGUCAUUUUGCUGAUAAUUGUUCUGAUCGAACUCCAAAGGCUAAAGUGGGACUUCAUCCCAUUGCUGUGCCAACAAUUGUGGUAGUUCGUUGAAAAUAUGUAGAAAAUUGUAAUGCAAUAGUGACCAUACCCUCGAAAUGCGUGGAAGGUGCUCUAAUGGAUCAUGAUUAUGUAUGUUCAAUUACUGAAGCCUCAGGUAUUGCUAGACCUUCAUCUACAUCCGAGCCUUUAUAUAUGCCCAGAAUAUCAGUUAGAGAACAAACCCCCCAUCUUGUGAUGAUAUACACCUCCAAAAAAAUC